UACGUAGGGCGCAAGCGUUUGUCCGGAAUUAUUGGGCGUAAAGAGCUCGUAGGCGGCUUGUCACGUCGGGUGUGAAAGCCCGGGGCUUAACCCCGGGUCUGCAUUCGAUACGGGCUGGCUAGAGUGUGGUAGGGGAGAUCGAAUUCCUGGUGUAGCGGUGAAAUGCGCAGAUAUCAGGAGGAACACCGGUGGCGAAGGCGGAUCUCUGGGCCAUUACUGACGCUGAGGAGCGAAAGCGUGGGGAGCGAACGG
rnacentral:rRNA from 1 species